UAGAGACUGCCCUACGUGUGGAGCAGAGUAUAACAGAGGAGAAGUCAGUAGUGGAGCCUAGUCGUGGGGCUUCAACAGCUAGUGGUUUUCGAGGUCGUGAGCAGCGAAGGUUCACACCUGGAGUGAAUGUUUCAAGCCGUCAAGACUUUAAGCGUUGAUCUAGUGGCCAGUCAUCGAGGCAGAUGAGUUCAAGUAGUGCCUAUCAGAAGCAGGGCAAGAGAGCACCCAGUCAGUCUGCUAGUUCAGCAGCAAGACUGUAGAUGGGUCAGGAGUCCGUUGCUAGUGAAACUAGGAGAACCCCAUGUGCAAGUUGUGGCAGGAAUCAUCGGGGUCAGUGUCUUAUUGGUGCCAGUGUGUGUUGCCAGUGUGGACAGCCAGGGCAUUUCAAGAGAGACUGUCCACAGCUGAGAGCAGCAGUUUAGAGGGACAAGGGCAUUGAGUCUCACACAGUUGAGCAACUGAGAGUCUUAACGGCUGCAGGAGAGGGCACCAGCGGUGCAAAGCAGAAGGGAGUUGUGGGGACACCUAGGCAGCAGGGAAAAGUCUACGCUAUGAAUCUAUAUUUGCUGUGUUCGAGCGAUUUCUGGACAAAUCCGUUGGGAAUCUCGUUUUUAUUCCUUCAAGCCAAAAGAAAAUAAACCGAGUCUACAGAUCAGGGAACUAGCCAAGAUUUGUGCACACAGGUUAUAUUCUGCUAUUGAUGUUGAGUGUACUCCGUGACAACGAUGCUUUCGAGAGUGUUGGGUGGGCCCCACUACGACAAAGACGAUGGGAGUGCUUGGCAGACCCCACUACAUUGUAGAGCUAGUAAAUGUUGGUUGUACUGGGUGUGCCCUACACAACGUUGUUGUCAUGUAGAGAUCGAGCUCCCGGUGCCUGAUAACUUCCAAAGUCUGUUUUCUCCUAAAAGCUUCAAGAUCAAGCUUCAUAUGUGGGUGGAGUUGUACAUUGUGUCUGUUUAUAUUGUAAAUGUCUUUGUAAGAACUGGAUAGUUUAUGGUUGUGUAAGCACUAGAUGUCGUGGUGGUGUAAACCCCUAAUUGGAUAUGUUUUUGGUUGUGAUAUCUCUAUCAGGUUAUUUUCCAAACCGAGUUAUGUCAGGACUACACUUCAUGUGUGUCUAAAGGUUUUCAGUGAUUCCGUUGUGUUGUUUUACAUGUAAAGUAUUUUAUAUCUAAGAUUAGUAUGUUUAUCAGGUUCAACUAUUCAGUAGGGUC